rnacentral:rRNA from 1 species
CAGCCGCCGCGGGAAUACGAAGGGUGCAAGCGUUAAUCGGAAUUACUGGGCGUAAAGCGUGCGUAGGCGGUGAGUUAAGUCUGUUGUGAAAUCCCCGGGCUCAACCUGGGAAUGGCAAUGGAUACUGGCAAGCUAGAGUGUGUCAGAGGAUGGUGGAAUUCCCGGUGUAGCGGUGAAAUGCGUAGAGAUCGGGAGGAACAUCAGUGGCGAAGGCGGCCAUCUGGGACAACACUGACGCUGAGGCACGAAAGCGUGGGGAGCAAACAGGAUUAGAUACCCCCGUAGUCCCUGUCUCUUAUAC